GCCUGGGUGGCUCAGUCGGUUGAGCGUCUGACUUCGGCUCAGGUCACGAUCUCGCGGUCCGUGGGUUCGAGCCCCGUGUCAGGCU
rnacentral:tRNA from 1 species